UACGUAGGGUGCGAGCGUUGUCCGGAAUUAUUGGGCGUAAAGAGCUCGUAGGUGGUUUGUCGCGUUGUUCGUGAAAACCGGGGGCUUAACCCUCGGCGUGCGGGCGAUACGGGCAGACUUGAGUACUGCAGGGGAGACUGGAAUUCCUGGUGUAGCGGUGAAAUGCGCAGAUAUCAGGAGGAACACCGAUGGCGAAGGCAGGUCUCUGGGCCACUACUGACGCUGAGAAGCGAAAGCAUGGGGAGCGAACGGG
rnacentral:rRNA from 1 species